rnacentral:rRNA from 1 species
UACGAAGGGGGCUAGCGUUGUUCGGAAUUACUGGGCGUAAAGCGCACGUAGGCGGAUACUUAAGUCAGGGGUGAAAUCCUGGAGCUCAACUCCAGAACUGCCUUUGAUACUGAGGAUCUUGAGUUCGGGAGAGGUGAGUGGAACUGCGAGUGUAGAGGUGAAAAUUCGUAGAUAUUCGCAAGAACACCAGUGGCGAAGGCGGCUCACUGGCCCGAUACUGACGCUGAGGCACGAAAGCGUGGGGAAGCAAACAGGG